GACAGAGGGUGCAAACGUUGUUCGGAAUUACUGGGCGUAAAGCGCGUGUAGGCGGCCAAGCAAGUCGGAUGUGAAAGCCCUCGGCUCAACCGGGGAAGUGCACUCGAAACUGCAUGGCUAGAGUCUCGGAGAGGAUCGUGGAAUUCUCGGUGUAGAGGUGAAAUGCGUAGAGAUCGGGAGGAACAUCAGUUGCGAAGGCGGCUCUCUGGACCAGCACUGACACUGAGGCACGAAAGCGUGGGGAGCAAACAGG
rnacentral:rRNA from 1 species